UACGGGGGGAGCAAGCGUUGUUCGGAUUUACUGGGCGUAAAGGGCGCGUAGGCGGCCACGACAAGUCAGUUGUGAAAUCUCUGGGCUUAACUCAGAACGGUCAACUGAUACUGUCGGGCUAGAGUGCAGAAGGGGCAACUGGAAUUCUCGGUGUAGCGGUGAAAUGCGUAGAUAUCCGGAGGAACACCGGUGGCGAAGGCGGCUUCCUGGACCGACACUGACGCUGAGGCGCGAAAGCUAGGGGAGCAAACGGG
rnacentral:rRNA from 1 species